GGCAUGUGGAGGAGGAUGAAAUUGGAGACAUGAGAUAGAGAUAGAGAUAGAGAUAGGAGGUGGGAAAUUAAGCUGGAGUGGCUGCUGCUCUUGGCCGGUAGUAGAGAUGUUAUUGCUUGGAUGGAUGAAAUUGACGUGAAGUGAAGCCAUUAAAUGGUUAUGGCAGCCUGAUUGUACCAGGCUGGAAGUGAAUUAUUGAAAGAGCUCGUGUUUUUGAUGCGUCGUCUGAAGUCUGAAGCAAGAAAUUAUUAGCUGACUUUGCCUGGAAAAGUUCAAAACAAGAGAGCCGCAGCCUAUUUAUCCAAAACCAUGCAUUUUCCGAAGAAAACAGAUGAACUAUGCCAUUUGAAUUUGUCCUUUCUCUGGCACCUUCCUUCCUCUUGACUUUAUUAUCAGUGAGGACUCCAAAUACAACCCUGAUCUUGUACGGCCACUGCUGGGUUGGUUUUCUUUUUCCAGGAUUCCCAAACAAUCAUUAAAUUAUUCAUUUUCAACUAUUCUAUCAGGAUUACAUCUCUUUCACACCAUCUCCAUCCACGCAGCAGCCUGCCUUCGCGCCUGCUACUAUCACCUAUUUCCAAUGUGUGUAAAGAGAAGUUGUUCAAACUGGAACUCUUCUUUAACUUGGUGGGUAAUUAUCUAACAAAAACAAUAUUUUAAAUGUUGUCGAUAUCGUGACAAACAUUGAAUCAUUUCACUGGAGAUGAUGGAUGGAAACUUGGGAAAUCUUUGCUUCUUUUCUUUUCUUUCUUUGUUUUUUUCCUUUCUUUCUUUCUCAUCAUGUUUAACGUGUGGCUUUACUGACUUCAGCCGCCUUUAAUUUGUUUCAGUUUGGUUUCUUUUCCAAGAAAAUUCAUGCUUAUCUUUCUUCUCUCA